UACAGAGGGGGCAAGCGUUGUUCGGAAUUACUGGGCGUAAAGGGCGCGUAGGCGGCCUGUUAAGUCGAACGUGAAAUCCCCGGGCUCAACCCGGGAACUGCGUCCGAUACUGGCAGGCUUGAAUCCGGGAGAGGGAUGCGGAAUUCCAGGUGUAGCGGUGAAAUGCGUAGAUAUCUGGAGGACACCGGUGGCGAAGGCGGCAUCCUGGACCGGUAUUGACGCUGAGGCGCGAAAGCCAGGGGAGCAAACGGG
rnacentral:rRNA from 1 species